GAGAUUGGCAGAUUUGGAAGCCACUUCUGUUGGCUUCAAAUGGGUUUUCAUUGCCUUUGAUCAGCAGAAAGGACAGAAAAAACUAGGGUUUCCAUUGCCUUUGAUCAGUAGAAAGGACAGAAAAAACAAUGGGCUUCACAGCAUUCACACCAUCCACAGCAGCCAACAACGUCAACUCAUCUUUCCCUUCUUCAUUAUGGAUCCCUUCUUCCCAUUUAUCCAUCUCCAAGAAGCCCAUCUCGGAUUGCAGUGCUUUUUCUUCAAGGGACAACUCUUUUAUGAGGGGUCAGUUUCAGAGCAGGCACUUGCUUGGGUGCUGUUCCAGACGAGUGCAGAGUAGAAGAGCAGGAAUUUUGGUUUUGCCGAGCUGUGUCUUUCCAUUAACUGAAGAAAAUGUUGAGAAGGUCUUGGAUGAGGUGCGACCUGGGUUAAUGGCUGAUGGAGGAAAUGUGGCUCUACAUGAGAUUGAUGGCCUUGUUGUGGUACUAAAGCUACAAGGAGCAUGUGGGUCUUGUCCAAGCUCAACAAUGACACUAAAGAUGGGAAUUGAAACUAGACUUCGUGACAAGAUCCCAGAAAUUGAGGCAGUGGAACAAAUCCUCGACACAGAGACUGGCCUGGAGUUAAAUGAGGAAAAUGUUGAGAAGGUUCUUGCUGAGAUUAGACCAUACCUUGCUGGCACAGGUGGUGGGGUGCUCGAGCUUGUUCAGAUCAACGAUUAUGUCGUCAAAGUUCGGCUCAGUGGACCUGCAGCUGGGGUUAUGACUGUUCGGGUGGCUCUAACACAAAAAUUGAGGGAAAAGAUACCUGCCAUUGCAGCUGUCCAGUUGAUAGAUGGAUAAAAUACUAUGAAAAAACAGUUGUACAUAUUUCGGAUGAAUCUGACUUAGUUCACAUUCAAUAUGUAAGAAAAAGAGCAAUGUAAGUAUUGAGCAUCCAUGUAGGGUCCAUGCUAUUUCGAUGUGGUCUAGAAGAAACACAAUGGAAUUCCUGUUUGAACUAUGUUUAUCAAUUUGGUUGUACUUGGAGCUCGUGAUAGCAGAGGCCAGGUACCAUGUAUGCGUACAGAAACACAUAGUUCCAGUAUUCUUCUCUUCCGGGUUGAUCAUUUUGUUUCUUCUUUUAUACACCACUAAAGAAUCUGAUUAGUAUGUGCUGCGAUACUUAUUUGUACUUCUCCAAUCUGAUGGAUGACAUUUCCACCUUGACCUUGUGAUCUA